rnacentral:sRNA from 1 species
UUUUAUUUUCUUUAACAGCUGUUCAUGUCAACGGACAUAUAUUUAUAUACAGGGUUCUCUCCCUUGUCAUCUCUACUCUAGCCUCUGAUUGGACCAGCCAUCCCCAUCUUGCAUUUUCUAUUUUACAAGUCAGCAUGUUGUUUGUUCUCAACAAAGUGAAAAACGGAAUACCUAAAGGUAAUA